rnacentral:rRNA from 1 species
AACGAACGCUGGCGGCAGGCCUAACACAUGCAAGUCGAACGCUCCGCAAGGGGAGUGGCGCACGGGUGAGUAACACGUGGGAACCUACCCUCUGGUACGGAACAACCAAGGGAAACUUUGGCUAAGACCGUAUACGACCUCCGGGUGAAAGAUUGAUCGCCGGAAGAGGGGCCCGCGUCCGAUUAGGUAGUUGGUGAGGUAACGGCUCACCAAGCCUUCGAUCGGUAGCUGGUCUGAGAGGAUGACCAGCCACACUGGGACUGAGACACGGCCCAGACUCCUACGGGAGGCAGCAGUGGGGAAUAUUGGACAAUGGGCGCAAGCCUGAUCCAGCCACGCCGCGUGAGUGAUGAAGGCC